rnacentral:rRNA from 1 species
AGCGAACGCUGGCGGCAGGCCUAACACAUGCAAGUCGAACGAAGUCUUCGGACUUAGUGGCGGACGGGUGAGUAACACGUGGGAACGUGCCUUUAGGUUCGGAAUAACUCAGGGAAACUUGUGCUAAUACCGAAUGUGCCCUUCGGGGGAAAGAUUUAUCGGCUUUAGAGCGGCCCGCGUCUGAUUAGCUAGUUGGUGAGGUAAAGGCUCACCAAGGCUACGAUCAGUAGCUGGUCUGAGAGGAUGACCAGCCACAUUGGGACUGAGACACGGCCCAAACUCCUACGGGAGGCAGCAGUGGGGAAUCUUGCGCAAUGGGCGAAAGCCUGACGCAGCCAUGCCGCGUGGAUGAUGAAGGUCUUAGGAUUGUAAAAUCCUUUCACCGGUGAAGAUAAUGACUGUAGCCGGAGAAGAAGCCCCGGCUAACUUCGUGCCAGCCGCCGCGGUAAAAC